CAUUCUCCCUCUCCGGCGACACGCAGCUGUUCCUCUUUUCCCCUGUUUUGUUUUUGCCGCAAGAUUAAGGAAAAAGGGAUAUUACAAGCCUCCCCCGACUAUCAAAGUUACUAAGCAGGAUUUGAGGUAAUGACGGGGAUGACGGAAUGGCGUAGCAGUGAGGAAUAAUUACUACUUAAAUUAUGCAGACUCUU